rnacentral:lncRNA from 1 species
UUUGGUCUCAGAUUCUGGGAGGUCCAGAGACGCCCAGUAAUUCGGGGAUGGGAGAAGUCAGAGAUGGCCGGCGGGGACCCCAAAUCUUCAAUCUUGUCCUCCCUGCAAGAGAGCCCUGUGACAGUGCCCUGGCUGCAUUUGACCUGGUUGACAGAGGAAAGUGCUCCCAGGAGACUGCCUCCCAGAAGCAGAGGCUCUGCCUGCAAACUGGUCCAGUGGUCCACGGGGACAGAUGCCAUCUCUCUCUCCCAAGAGGCCCAGGGACUCACUCCUGGUCACUCAGUCCCCUUCCAGUCCUCUUCCCAUCACCCAACACCCACCUAUUCACUGGUCUUUGCUCCCCCCACCCUCCUGUCAGAAAGGGACACUCUUCCAUCGGUGAAAGUUGCAUUUAAUGCUCACAUCAUCAUAAAGCAGACACACAACCCCAACCCCAGAAUCCAACCUGUGACCAUCUCACCCGAUAAUGACUAUUCCCCUUAAACACAGAGGAGGAAAUUAACUCCGUUCUAAUUAGGUGAGUUUGCUACAGACACCAAUUUUCAUCUCGGUUUCAGAAAGUGUGAUCAUUUCAACUAUUUUUGUUUCUCACCACCCUCCCCCAUCCCUACUCUACUAACAAGUCAAGAUCCUGCCAAGAUUUCCUUGUAAAUAAAACUGUCUGCCUAGGGUGUGAUUUUGAAAACAGCCUUCAGGGGGACAGAAGAGAGGCCUACUUCUUUGGGGAAAGAAGCCCAGAAGGACAAAAGGAAGCAUGGGGCUCUGAGGUCAAUAUCACUGCCUCCUCCCCACCCUCUGGAUAUCAUUUACAUGACCUGUCUGGGGGCUGCCUGUGUUAGACUCAGAUCUCUGGGACUGGACAAGUCAUCCAGGAAGCCUGGGGUGAGGUGAGGGGAAGAAGGGCUUAGAGAGGCAUUAGCCACUCUGCCGAGAUGCCCAGCAGCCCUGGGCAGUGUUCUGACCCCAGGUCCCCUUCAGUUUCUUCAGCCCAGGGGCACCUCUUAUCAGCAGCGCCAACUCUAUACUACCCUCAGGUAGAAGGGACCUCAGCAGGCUCCAUCCUCUGAACAUUUAUUUUUUAUUUUUAUUUAUUUUUAAGAUUAUUAUUUAUUCAUGAGAGACACACAGAGAGAGGCAGAGACAUAGGCAGAGAGAGAAGUGGGCUCCCUGCAGGGAGCCCAAUGCAGGACUCCAUCCUAGGACCCCAGGAUCACACCCUGAGCCAAAGGCAGACACUCAACCACUGAGCCACCCAGGUGCCCUGGUACUCUAAACUUUUACUGAGUUCCUACUGAGUGCCAGUGGCAGAGCUUCAGGAAUAUAGAAAUAAAUAGGGUCUGGACCCUGCCCUCCAGAAAGUGUUUAUCUGGAGGUGACAGCCAGGGAAGGCCAAAGGAGUAUAGAAACCCAAAGGACAGGUUUCUUGAGGGUCUAAGAAGACUUGCUAAAGGAAAUGUCCCCAGAACAAAGCAAAAUGAGAUACCUGAAGAGAAGGCAUUCUAGGCAGAGGGAACAGCCCAGGCACAGGCUGGGCCUGUGAAGCAAUGUAGUAUGGCACGGGAACUAUAAGGAACCUGGCAUGGCUGGCCAUGAGGGCAGGGUGCUUCCUGUGAGGAGCCCAGCCUGGAAGGGACAGUGCAAAGGGCUGUGGAUUUCCUGAGAAAGGAGCUUUGACUUUACCUAAGGUCUAUGGGGAGGCACAGAAGGACUGUGAUCAGCAGAGUAAUAAUUUAGAAGAUCUUUCUGGGGGUUCUUGGAUGGCUCAGUCAAUUAGGCAUCUGACUUGAUUUUUGGCUCAGGUCAUGAUUUCAGGCGGGUGAGAUCCAGCCCCACGUUGGGCUCCAUGGUGGGCAUGGUAUCUGCUUAAGAUUCUCUCUCUCUCUCUGCGCCUCCCUCUGCCCCUCUCCUGUUCACACACAUGCAUAUAUGCUCUCUUUUUCUCUCAAAUAAAUAAAUAAAUAAAUACCCUUCCAGGGGUGCCUGGAUGGCACAAUCAGUUGAGUAUCAGACUCUUCAUUUCAGAUCAUGACCUGAUCUCAGGGUUUUGGGAUUGAGCUCCACGUCAGGCUCCACACUCAGCACAAAGUCUGCUUAAAUCCUUCUCUUCCUUUGCCUCUGUCCCUCCCCACUGUGUGCUCACUCUUGCUUUCUCUCUUUCUCAAAUAAAUAAAUAAAUCUUUAAAAAAAAAAAAAAAAAGAGACUUCCUUCGGCUGUAACAUGGAAGAUAGGAGGAGACUGGCCUGAGCAUAGGAAGAUGGGAGAUGCCAUCCAGGGAAGGGGUC